rnacentral:rRNA from 1 species
UGCCAGCAGCCGCGGUAAUACGGAGGGUGCGAGCGUUAAUCGGAAUUACUGGGCGUAAAGCGAACGUAGGCGGCUUGAUAAGUCUGAUGUGAAAUCCCUGGGCUUAACCUGGGAAUUGCAUCCGAUACUGUCGAGCUAGAGUGUGUGAGAGGGAAGUGGAAUUCCGGGUGUAGCGGUGAAAUGCGUAGAUAUCCGGAGGAACACCAGCGGCGAAGGCGACUUCCUGGCACAACACUGACGCUCAGGUUCGAAAGCGUGGGGAGCAAACAGGAUUAGAUA